AUGGAGAUUGAUAUGAUGAGAAUAGACCCGAGGGCCAUAGGUUUCACUAGUGGCUUCUCUCAAGAGCAUAAGUAUUCUACGGUGGGUGAACAAAUUACUGUUGAGCAAUUGACAGAAUUGAGCAUAGUUAUGAGAAUAUCUAGGCAUGAUCAUGUAUAUAGGCAUCACGUCCGUGACAAGUUGGGCUCUCCUGUUCUUUUUUGUUGGCUUGACGUACGCAUUGGCAACCUCCUGCGUGAAGGAUUCAGCAUGCCUCUAUUUGAGAGAAAAGAUAUGGAGAAGCGGAUUUUCAGAGUAUCUCAGGCACACAAGCUAAAGGUUCACCAAGUUUAG
rnacentral:rRNA from 1 species